GAUGAAGAACGUAGCGAAAUGCGAUAAGUAAUGCGAAUUGCAGAAUCCGUGAGUCAUCGAAUCUUUGAACGCACAUUGCGCCCUCUGGUAUUCCGGAGGGCAUGCCUGUUCGAGCGUCAUUAUCACCCCUCAAGCCCGGCUUGUUGUUGGAUGCAGCGCUUAUCCCGCUCCUCCCAAAGAUAAUGACGGCGUCUGCGACGACUCCUGUACACUGAGCUUUCGGGCACGUACACGGCUAGAAGUCCAGACCCGGUCGCCGUCCCCCCCGCGGGGUCACCCAUUACCACAAGGUUGACCUCGGAUCAGGUAGGAAUACCCGCUGAACUUAAGCAUAUCAAUAAGCGGAGGA
rnacentral:misc_RNA from 1 species